UUUCUUUUACUUUCUUCCAUUAUUUCUUAAAUUGAUGUGGUUUUAUAUAACUGAACAGAGUACUAUUACAGUACCGUAGAAGGUGGAUUAACUGAAGCAGCUGGAAAGACUGUCAAGCACAUACUUUGUUAUCUGUUGCAGAAGGGAUGUAUUUGGCAGAAUCUCAGGCUACAAGUCUGGUAGCUCAUUAGAGCCAGGAGAGAUUUUAGUUUAAUUAUAGCCUUUCAUUGUACUAAUGAAGGAUUUGAACUUAGUGAACAGAGUCAAGACUAGAAUCUAGGUCUUCAGUUCUGGUAUUUUGUGAUCAUUAUAGGCUCGUUUCCAACCUGAGGUCCCAAGAGUACUAUUUGUUUUGUAGCCUGGUUAGACAUAGUUGCAGUAAUUUAAAGUUACUGCGUUAUCUUUAAGGGUUUCCUCUCACCUUAAUCUUAAUAAUUGACUUACAACUAUAUUCUUUUUUCUUAUGAGUCCCUAAUUAUGCCUGCUUUUGCUAUAAUUGUACUUAAAUCCUUAAAGUUAGCUGAGGUCCAGAUAGUGUAAUUGCUUUUGGAGGCUUCACAUAUAAGGUUGCCUUCUUAUUACACAUAUUUUAGGAAUUAUUUUGUGGAAAGUUGUUAUAUAUGAAGAGUUUAUUAUUAAGCAUUCUUUUCAUCAGUUUAAAUGUUUAGUUCCUCCCAGGCGUUUUUCCUCCAAUUUUAUAUUUGAUUUUCAUUCAAUUAACAGUUGGUAUCAUUAAAAAAAAAAUUCUAAUACAAUUAGCUAGACCUUCUGAGAAAAAUGUUAGAAUUAAACUCAAGCAGUCUGUAUAGUAUAUUUCUUAACCGACUGGUUUUAGCUUAUCGAAAAGUAAUUGUUUUAUGUAUUUAAAUACAUUUACAAAGAAAAUGAGGCUUUUAAACAGACCUCACUAUUUAACAUUGUACACAGUAGUGGUGAGCAUGCUUAGUACCCAAAUUUUGGUUUCUAAAUGCCAUUCCCCACUAAAAGGAACCAGGAUUCCUUGGAGAAAUGGCUGAUUCCAUGUUUGGAGCAGGGGAAGUGGGUGGUGGGGGUGGCUAAAAUACCUUUUUUAUUAAGAAAAUAAAAUAAAAAGCAAGAUAUUAUUUGAAGACUAAUGGGGUAAUGUCAGAAGGGGACAGGCGCCAAGUUGAAGGUAUUCUCACUGGCCAAAUUUAGGACAACUUAAAAAGAAUAAUCACUCUUAUUGGUGAUAAUACUAAGAAGGAAAAGAAGUUCAUAAUGAUGAAUGUAGAGAAAAAAGAAAACUAUAAAAUUAUUUGAAGAAUGUCUUUUAAAUGUACACGGAAUGAUAGAUUUGGAAAAAUUACCAUUUUACAACCCUUAAUGUAAUUAAGUCUGGCAAAAAUCGAUGGUAAAACCCAUUAAGUGAAAAAAAUUUUAAGAAACUUCGUUUACAAGGUGUCAGAACAUCACAGAUAUCUAUUGCAAAAGAAUUGCCUUUACAAUGAGAUUUGGCUGUCAAACUGCAUUUCACUACUUCUGGAAUAAGCCAGCAUUAUGUGGCUCUUGAUGGGAUGCAGUAUGAAGCAUGUGUGACCAUCCUUGAUGUACUGCCAAAAAUGUUUACCUCAAAUUUAAUUAAAUCUUUUGUCUAGACUUAUCUUCCUGGUUAAAGAAAUACAGGAAUAGAGGAACAAGUUGAAUUACACAGUAUGGAAAUAGACAAGUCCAGAGUUGGUAUAGGACAACUGGUCUGGACUUUAUUUUAAAAUGGUUUUCUUAGAUUUAUUUUUUUAAACAUAACACGAGGAAGGUGUUAAAACUGGUGUAAUAGCUCAAAAGAAUUAAGUAUUCCAGAUUUCAGGAGGGAUGAAGAGGGAGAUAUUCAGAAACCUUCACCAGAUUCCUCCCAACUUGAUCAUAGCGGAUUAAUGAUGUGCUUUGUGGAUGUCGUUAGUCAAUGACACCAGCUUUGUGGAUGUGGUUAGUCAAUGACACCAGCUUGACGGAUCUUUCUUUCUGCACCAAACCCCAUUGAGUUAUCUCGUCCCCUUGGCUGACGAAGAGCCAUUAGGCGAGGAUCACUGGCAUCAUCCAGGGUGAUGUUCUUCAAGCGACUGACCAACCGAUCAGGUCGAGGAGCUGCAACAGCCUUGGGGCCCUCACAGACUUGCCAAACAUUCCAGGCACUGCACUUGCCAGUGUGCUGAUGAAGAAUCAAGAAUCACUGAGAACUCCACCUCUUCUCCUGCCUGGAGCUCAAGGCCAUCCUCAACUUCUUUCACAUGGCAAAAGAGCUUCUUGCUAUCCCCUACUUCAUAGUUAAUGAAGCCAAACUGAUCUUGCACACAUUCCACUGUGGCCCUACGCGGGGGUGUGAUGUUGUAAGCCAUAGUUGGUGCAUUUUGGCCCUGGUCUGGACUUUUCAAAAAGCAAAUGUAGUAAAACAAAAAGUGGUCUCUUCUAGAUUAAGGCAAGAGACAUAACCAAAUGGAAAGUGUGAUCCUUUAUUAGCUUCUGAUUCAUUAAAAAAAAAACCUAUAAAAGACAUUUGGGGGGAUAUUUGGGGAAAUAGGAAGAUGGAAUGGGUACUAGAUAAUGUGGUAUGUUUGAUUUUUCUAGAAGUGAUAAUUGAGUUACGUAGGAUAAUAAUGUUCUAAUUCUUAGGAGAUGCAUGCAGAAGUUUUCAAGUUUGAAAAGUCAUGAUGUUGGCAGCAUAUUUUCAAAUAUGUACAAAAUUAGUCAAUUUUUUUUUUGUGGUGGAGCUAUAUGUGGUGGAUGUUCAUUGGUCAUUUAAAACAUUUUUCUAUAUGUGUCAAUUUCUAAUAAAAAUUAAUGCAAAAAGUGA
rnacentral:lncRNA from 1 species